UUAGUAACGGCGAGUGAAGCGACAAAAGCUCAAAUUUGAAAUCUGGCACCUUCGGUGUCCGAGUUGUAAUUUGAAGAAGGUAACUUUGGAGUUGGCUCUUGUCUAUGUUCCUUGGAACAGGACGUCACAGAGGGUGAGAAUCCCGUGCGAUGAGAUGUCCAACUCUAUGUAAAGUGCUUUCGAAGAGUCGAGUUGUUUGGGAAUGCAGCUCUAAGUGGGUGGUAAAUUCCAUCUAAAGCUAAAUAUUGGCGAGAGACCGAUAGCGAACAAGUACAGUGAUGGAAAGAUGAAAAGAACUUUGAAAAGAGAGUGAAAAAGUACGUGAAAUUGUUGAAAGGGAAGGGUUUGAGAUCAGACUUGGUAUUUUGUAUGUCUUGCUUUCGGGUGGGGCCUCUGCAGUUUACUGGGCCAGCAUCGGUUUGGACGGUAGGAUAAUGACAUUGGAAUGUGGCACU
rnacentral:rRNA from 1 species